AUGAACGCUGGCGGCGUGCCUAAUACAUGCAAGUCGCGCGAACAGACGAGGAGCUUGCUCCUCUGACGUUAGCGGCGGACGGGUGAGUAACACGUGGAUAACCUACCUAUAAGACUGGGAUAACUUCGGGAAACCGGAGCUAAUACCGGAUAAUAUAUUGAACCGCAUGGUUCAAUAGUGAAAGACGGUUUUGCUGUCACUUAUAGAUGGAUCCGCGCCGCAUUAGCUAGUUGGUAAGGUAUCGGCUUACCAAGGCAACGAUGCGUAGCCGACCUGAGAGGGUGAUCGGCCACCCUGGAACUGAGACACGGUCCAGACUCCUACGGGAGGCAGCAGUAGGGAAUCUUCCGCAAUGGGCGAAAGCCUGACGGAGCAACGCCGCGUGAGUGAUGAAGGUCUUCGGAUCGUAAAACUCUGUUAUUAGGGAAGAACAAAUGUGUAAGUAACUAUGCACGUCUUGACGGUACCUAAUCAGAAAGCCACGGCUAACUACGUG
rnacentral:rRNA from 1 species